rnacentral:rRNA from 1 species
GAGGAAGCACGGGCUAAGUUCGUGCCAGCAGCCGCGGUAAGACGAACCGUGCGAACGUUAUUCGGAAUCACUGGGCUUAAAGCGCGUGUAGGCGGAACGGCACGUCGGACGCUGAAAUCCCCCGGCUCAACCGGGGAACGGGCGCCGAUACGACCGUUCUCGAGGGACGUAGGGGGACCUGGAACUUCCGGUGGAGCGGUGAAAUGCGUUGAGAUCGGAAGGAACGCCCGUGGCGAAAGCGAGGUCCUGGACGUUUUCUGACGCUGAGACGCGAAAGCCAGGGGAGCGAACGGGAUUAGAUACCCCGGUAGUCCUGGCCGUAAACGAUGGGCACUGGGUAGGGGGCUCGCCGAUGGGCUCCCUGCCGUAGCGAAAGC